rnacentral:rRNA from 1 species
AACGUAGGAGGCGAGCGUUAUCCGGAUUUACUGGGCGUAAAGCGCACGCAGGCGGCUUCGUGAGUUGGACGUGAAAGCUCCUGGCUUAACUGGGAGAGGUCGUUCGAUACUGCGAGGCUUGAGGUAGGGAGAGGGGUGUGGAAUUCCCGGUGUAGUGGUGGAAUGCGUAGAGAUCGGGAGGAACACCAGUGGCGCAAGCGGCACCCUGGCCCACACCUGACGCUGAGGUGCGAAAGCGUGGGGAGCAAAC